CCUACGGGGGGCAGCAGUGGGGAAUAUUGCACAAUGGGCGAAAGCCUGAUGCAGCAACGCCGCGUGAGCGAUGACGGCCUUCUGGUCGUAAAGCUCUGUCCUCAAGGAAGUUAAUGACGGUACUUGAGGAGGAAGCUCCGGCUAACUACGUGCCAGCAGCCGCGGUACUACGUAGGGGGCUAGCGUUAUCCGGAAUUACUGGGCGUAAAGGGGGCGUAGGUGGUUUCUUAAGGCAGAGGUGAAAGGCUACGGCUAAACCGUAGUAAGCCUUUGGAACUGGGGAACUUGAGUGCAGGAGAGGUGAGUGGAAUUCCUAGUGUAGCGGUGAAAUGCGUAGAUAUUAGGAGGAACACCAGUUGCGAAGGCGGCUCUCGGGACUGUAACUGACACUGAGGCACGAAAGCGUGGGGAGCAAACAGGAUUAGAUACCCUUGUAGUC
rnacentral:rRNA from 1 species